AGAGUUUGAUCAUGGCUCAGAGCGAACGCUGGCGGCAGGCUUAACACAUGCAAGUCGAGCGGGCGUAGCAAUACGUCAGCGGCAGACGGGUGAGUAACGCGUGGGAACAUACCUUUUGGUUCGGAACAACACAGGGAAACUUGUGCUAAUACCGGAUAAGCCCUUACGGGGAAAGAUUUAUCGCCGAAAGAUUGGCCCGCGUCUGAUUAGCUAGUUGGUGAGAUAACGGCUCACCAAGGCGACGAUCAGUAGCUGGUCUGAGAGGAUGAUCAGCCACAUUGGGACUGAGACACGGCCCAAACUCCUACGGGAGGCAGCAGUGGGGAAUAUUGGACAAUGGGCGCAAGCCUGAUCCAGCCAUGCCGCGUGAGUGAUGAAGGCCCUAGGGUUGUAAAGCUCUUUUGUGCGGGAAGAUAAUGACGGUACCGCAAGAAUAAGCCCCGGCUAACUUCGUGCCAGCAGCCGCGGUAAUACGAAGGGGGCUAGCGUUGCUCGGAAUCACUGGGCGUAAAGGGUGCGUAGGCGGGUCUUUAAGUCAGGGGUGAAAUCCUGGAGCUCAACUCCAGAACUGCCUUUGAUACUGAAGAUCUUGAGUUCGGGAGAGGUGAGUGGAACUGCGAGUGUAGAGGUGAAAUUCGUAGAUAUUCGCAAGAACACCAGUGGCGAAGGCGGCUCACUGGCCCGAUACUGACGCUGAGGCACGAAAGCGUGGGGAGCAAACAGGAUUAGAUACCCUAGUAGUCC
rnacentral:rRNA from 1 species